ensembl:lncRNA
GUGGACGAAAACUUACUGAUGGUUGACACUGGCUGCAAAGGAUUCAGGAGUCUUCACUGGCAGGAAAUAGCAGUGUCACUUUCAAAUGCUCAGGAGAACCCAGACCCAGUGCUCACUGUGACAUGAGGCUUAAUGUGUGGCCACCAAGAGAGACAGCCACAUGUCACCUUCUGAUUGGCAGAGGGAGGGUUGUGAAUGAACACAGUCACAGCUUGAGGGGAAAGUGUUCCCCUUGCUGGCAACAGCAAGUGACCGAGAGCUCAGCAGAGGCCUCAAGCCCAGACAGACUGCUGGCCUCACUCAUGCCCUUCAUCCAGGUACAUAUGCCCUGGAACAAAAGAGAGAGAAGUUUUGGAGCCUCAAGACAGCGGGUGACACACUACUCAUUUUCUAGCAGUGUUGUAGAAACCAGAAACCAAAACUCUGAGAUGUGGAGAGAGAGAUGGGGAUAAAAGUGCUUUUCUGCAGGAACAGCGAUGGUUGCACUCGGAGCACCGGUGUGAGGAUGAGAAGAAUGAAGGAGAAGAGCACAGUGAAGUUCUGGGGGCGUUGUCAGUGAUCAAUGAAGGACGAUCAUCACCACCCUCCUCCUCACUGUCAUCAGCCUUGUUUAGAAACAAAGAAACUGAGGGGCAGAGAAACUCAGCAGUCUGCUCAGGUCAUAGAGUACUAAGUGUGAGAGAAGGAUGCAAACUCAUAUCCGAGUGGGUCUGAAUUCAUAGUUAACACAUCACAGAUUCCUUCUCGGUGUGUUGCUGCAUGUGCCUACUGAGAAAACAGCUUCCCUCAAUAAGAAUAACACAAGUUGGUCCAGGUAAAUAAGAGAGGUUU